UACAGAGGGGGCAAGCGUUGUUCGGAAUUACUGGGCGUAAAGGGCGCGUAGGCGGCCCACUAAGUCGAACGUGAAAUCCCCGAGCUCAACUCGGGAACUGCGUCCGAUACUGGCGGGCUUGAAUCCGGGAGAGGGAUGCGGAAUUCCAGGUGUAGCGGUGAAAUGCGUAGAUAUCUGGAGGAACACCGGUGGCGAAGGCAGCCCCCUGGGAUAACACUGACGCUCAUGCACGAAAGCGUGGGGAGCAAACAGG
rnacentral:rRNA from 1 species